GUCUUUUUGAUAAAAUAUAAAGUCCAAUCUGCUCACUGAGUGUUUAAAGAGCCGCAGUAUACUGACUGUGCAAAGGUAGCAUAAUCAAUAGUUUUUUAAUUGAGAACUUGUAUGAAAGAUUAGACGAGAAAUUUAUUUUCUUUAUUUUAAUAAAUUAAAUUUUAAUUUUAAGUGAAAAUGCUUAAUUAAAUUUAAAAGACGAGAAGACCCUAUAGAUUUUUAUUAUUUAAAUAAAUUUUAUAUCUUAAUUUAAUAAAAGAAUUUAAUUGGGGCGAUUUUGUAAAAUAAAAAACUUAAUUUAUUUAAACCAUAAAUAAUUGAAUUUUUUGAUCUAAAAAUUUUAAAGAAAAGAUUAAAUUACCUUAGGGAUAACAGCGUAAUUUUAUUUAAGAGUUCAUAUCUAUAAUAAAGUUUGCGACCUCGAUGUUGAAUUAAGAUAAUAUAUUGGAGUAGAAAUUAAUAUAAUUAGUCUGUUCGACUAUUAAAUUCU
rnacentral:rRNA from 1 species